CUUAUCAAGAGCGGCGGAGGAAUCAGGUCCUACGAUGCCCGGCAACCUGUUAAUCAAGGUGCUAAAUCCUGCGGAUUUAUCCGAAAGAUGAGG
rnacentral:ncRNA from 1 species